GCGCAGGACUGCAGGCUGGGGCUCCGCUCCCCCGCGGGAGCCCGCGCGUGGUUCCCAGCGAAGUCCCCGCGCGGCUGGGCCCAGCGUGAGUAUUCUCCGCCCGCUGUCCUCCCCCUGGAGGCGGCAGCGCCCGUUUAUUUGAGGCUUCUAAUGUGAGGAAAAACACGGAAUGACAAGUGUGGGAAAGAGCAAGCACUAAAUUACUGUCAGAAAAAUAAACGGAGUAGCACAGUGCUGCUCGGUGAUUUACGGGGGCAAUUAGUCACCACCCCACGGCGCUGCUGAGGACAGCACAGCAGCAGACAAGUCAGGCCCACGAGGAAGAAGAGGCUUUGCACUGCUCUCCAGACAACUUUUCAAACAACAAGAGAGGAUAUUUGAGCACAUUAGGUUUUGUGUCUUCAUUCUGGGUACCUACUCUUCAUAUUAUUCUACCAACUUAAUACAUAAACAUAUUUUUAGCACAAUAUGAACCUGUUCUAUGUGUGUUUAAAAGCCUCCAGCAGCAACUUUUUUCUCUCCCACUGUCCAAAGUUGGGUUUUCCCCAUCCCUUAAAAAACAAAACAAAAAAACCUUUCUUCACUCCAAAUUGUCCCCCUGGUGUGUGGUUUUGGUCUGUCUCAUUACUUCUUGCAUCUUGCUACAUGUUCUGCCUUUGCUCAGAGCCACUGGGUGCUAAGGAAUUUGGUCUGCUGCUCCUCUGGGAAAGUUUGGUAAGCUGGUACAAGGAGGUGAUGAACAAGGCUAAAUGAAAAUCAUACAUAAACUUCCCAAUAUUUGUGAACAUGUUCUUUAACAUACCAUACAUAGUUUCUAUGUAUAUGUAACAUAGCAAAACAAACUUGCUAAGGUAUAAUUAAUUGGUAUGCAUGCCUUCAUAAAUAUUCACCAUCAGAAGAAACCUAGAAUGAAAGGUUGUGAAAGAACCCAGGAAUGAGAAAGACUUUAUUGACUAAAGGCCAUGUCUAUGUAGGGGCAACAAUGAAGCUGUGGGUGAGCAAAUGAAGCUUCAUCAGGAGUUUAGUAUCCUUAUGUAGCAUUACCUAAGAAUGCUACCAUAGUAAAUUUCUGAAGUACUUUACCUGUUACAAAGAACGUUUGUAAUCUCCUUUUCUUAUUUGAUCUUGCCCUGGCUUUAGUCAGGAACACCUGCUCAGUUAGAAAUGUAUUCGGUGGGUAUGUACGCAGUUGGAGAAUGUGCCCCAACACACGCCGCCUUUGGCCUGUAUGUUGGAGUCCUAGAGAGGCAGACAAUGUUGAUGAGCUUGGUACCAGCAUGGUGCGCCAUUCAUCUGGACACAAUUUCUGAUAAAGAGGGUCACAACUGGGAGAAACCUCAGAUUCUACUUGCUUCUCUUCUCCACGUUAUUAGACUUUUUUUCCCCUCUUGAAUUUUAUAAGCCCACUCCUUUUAAAACAAUUAAUUAAUAACGAGCGCUGGGAUUUGAUGUAGAAUUGCGUAUUUGUAACUGCAAUGGCACUGGUUUUCAACUACCCUGUAACAAGGAAGCAAUUCUAACCAGCAAAAGAGGCAGACGUGUUUCUGUGCAACAUCACAGGCGUGUGAAAUUGUUCAGAUAUUGAGAUAUCAGGAGUGAUAUAAAUUGGAAAUUUAACCAAAAAUAUUUUCCAUCAGUGAACAAAGCCUAUUUUAAAGUGCCUCUUGCAUUUUUCAGAUCUUUCUCUUUCUUUUUCCCAAAGUCACAUUGUAGUUUCUGAUAAAGGAACACACUGGGAAAACUAAGCACAUAUUUAAUCAAUGAAAUUUAAGGUGUAAAAAUUCUGCAUUUCUGACAAAUUUAAUGUUCACUCUUUUCUUGAUUUAAAUAGAGCAUUCUAAAAAUAUUACGCCUAUAGGGGAUAAAUUUUUAUAUGCAUGUUAUUUUUCUUUACAAAG
rnacentral:lncRNA from 1 species